rnacentral:rRNA from 1 species
AGCGAACGCUGGCGGCAGGCCUAAACAUGCAAGUCGAACGCCGUAGCAAUACGGAGUGGCAGACGGGUGAGUAACACGUGGGAACGUGCCUUUUGGUUCGGAACAACUGAGGGAAACUUCAGCUAAUACCGGAUAAGCCCUUACGGGGAAAGAUUUAUCGCCAAGAGAUCGGCCCGCGUCUGAUUAGCUAGUUGGUGAGGUAACGGCUCACCAAGGCUACGAUCAGUAGCUGGUCUGAGAGGAUGAUCAGCCACACUGGGACUGAGACACGGCCCAGACUCCUACGGGAGGCAGCAGUUAGGAAUCUUGGACAAUGGGCGCAAGCCUGAUCCAGCCAUGCCGCGUGAGUGAUGAAGGCCUUAGGGUUGUAAAGCUCUUUCAGCGGGGAAGAUAAUGACGGUACCCGCAGAAGAAGCCCCGGCUAACUUCGUGCCAGCAGCCGCGGU